rnacentral:rRNA from 1 species
GACGAACGCUGGCGGCGUGCUUAACACAUGCAAGUCGAGCGGUAAGGCCCUUCGGGGUACACGAGCGGCGAACGGGUGAGUAACACGUGGGUGACCUGCCUCUAGCUCUGGGAUAAGCCUGGGAAACUGGGUCUAAUACCGGAUAUGACUCCACGGCGCAUGUUGUGGGGUGGAAAGCCUUGUGUGGCUAGAGAUGGGCCCGCGGCCUAUCAGCUUGUUGGUGGGGUGAUGGCCUACCAAGGCGACGACGGGUAGCCGGCCUGAGAGGGCGACCGGCCACACUGGGACUGAGACACGGCCCAGACUCCUACGGGAGGCAGCAGUGGGGAAUCUUGCGCAAUGGGCGAAAGCCUGACGCAGCGACGCCGCGUGAGGGAUGACGGCCU